GUAAGUGAUAUAUGUAAUGAUGUGAGUGAGAUUCAUAGAAAACCAGUCUAGUCAAAUCGUUUUUUGUUAAUGUCAUGCAGAGUGAUUAUCCAAACAGUAAAGGAUUUGAUGUGAAUGCUGGGCAGGAAGUUACCUAUCCAUUGGAGCAUGUGAUGAUAACUCUAUGGAGGAAGUUGAAAGAUGUGGGCAGAUCCACUCCCCACACUGCUGUAUGAUCUGCUGCUAUGCUAAUGUACCUACAACAUGUUAGGUCUGUAAAGAAGGAACCUGAAAGCACUAUGUGGUUGUAAAGUUCAAAAAGUCACCUCUUGUGCUGCAGAAGGUACUCCAUGCCAGUCUACCAAGGAAAAAAAUAAGAAUGCAAGCAAUACACAAAUAUAUGAAUCUCAGCUAACAUUGCUAAAUUUAGAGAUAAUAGCUUGCUUUCUCUACAGAAGAAACAUCAAUGUCAUUUGAUGCUUGAUCCGGAGAACCUAAAGAUCUUGGAAGUGUUUCUGCUGCUGUAUAUGGAAGUGAAAAAACUGCACCACGAGCCUCAACAAGAGUAAGAUGAGUGCCAAAGGGAAGCAGUGAUUUUUUAUGGCUGGAACCCUCAGAACCACAGAGACAUCAUCAAGUGGACAACCGCUGGCUGUGACAUGUCACAGUAGAGAAAAUUCAAUUCUAUAUGAAAAAGUGGGAUAUGUUGUGAACAUACAAUAGGACAGUGAAGGGAUGCUUUCCUGAUGUGUUGAAGUAUGCUGAAGUCAGACCUCUGUUCAAGAAAGGGUUGAGGGAAGCAAUGGGAAACUAUCAACCUAUUCCUAUUCUUCCAAUCUUAUCUAAAGUGUUUGAGAAUGUAGCUGCAAACAAGAGCCACUAACUACGAGCCACGCCUGGUCCACGCGCAAGCAGCAGCUACGAAACGCGGAAGGCCCCUGGCGCUCACCUGGGUUGUAGCCGACGCAGUUGAGCGGGCUGCCGCAGACUCGCACGCUGGCGACGGGCGCGCCGUUGUCGGCGUUGAGCACGACGAGGUAGCCCUCGCUGCUGCCCGCAGCUAGCGCCACGCCGAACGGGUGGAAGCACAGCGACACCACCUCGUACGCCACCUGCGCUGACCACAGCAGCUUGUGGCGCCGCCACAGUGCCACCAGCUUGUCGUGGCCGCCCGUCGCGAACAGUUCGUCGUCCGGGUGCACAGCCAGGCCCCACAGCUGCCGUGAGUGUCCCAGCACCACCUGCGGUCCCAUUCAGUCCUCGCGUCACAGCUCGAUCGCUUUGCCCUUCGCACUGGAGUACCCCGGGCGCUUGUAUUUCUGAACCAAAUUCGUAUGAAGAAGCAAUGAAUUGUGACGACUGUGAAAAAUGGAAGGAAGCCUUAGAUAAUGAAUAUAAAUCUUUACUUGAAAAUGAAACGUGAAUUUUGACUGAUUUACCACCAGGCAGGAAGGUAAUUAGUUCGAAAUUGGUGUUC